GUGCCAGCAGCCGCGGUAAUACCGGCAGCUCAAGUGAUGGCCACUCUUAUUGGGCCUAAAGCGUCCGUAGCUGGCCGCGCAAGUCCGUCGGGAAAUCCACCUGCCCAACAGGUGGGCGUCCGGCGGAAACUGUGUGGCUUGGAACCGGAAGGCUCAGAGGGUACGUCCGGGGUAGGAGUGAAAUCCCGUAAUCCCGGACGGACCACCGAUGGCGAAAGCACUCUGAGAAGACGGCUUCGACAGUGAGGGACGAAAGCUAGGGUCUCAAACCGGAUUAGAAACCCGUGUAGUCC
rnacentral:rRNA from 1 species